GUGCACGCUGGCGGUAGGCCUAACACAUGCAAGUCGAACGGCAGCACCGUAAGAGCUUGCUCUUACGGGUGGCGAGUGGCGGACGGGUGAGGAAUACAUCGGAAUCUACUUUUUCGUGGGGGAUAACGUAGGGAAACUUACGCUAAUACCGCAUACGACCUACGGGUGAAAGCAGGGGAUCUUCGGACCUUGCGCGAUUGAUUGAGCCGAUGUCGGAUUAGCUAGUUGGCGGGGUAAAGGCCCACCAAGGCGACGAUCCGUAGCUGGUCUGAGAGGAUGAUCAGCCACACUGGAACUGAGACUCGGUCCAGACUCCUACGGGAGGCAGCAGUGGGGAAUAUUGGACAAUGGGCGCAAGCCUGAUCCAGCCAUACCGCGUGGGUGAAGAAGGCCUUCGGGUUGUAAAGCCCUUUUGUUGGGAAAGAAAAGCAGCAGGUUAAUACCCCGCUGUUCUGACGGUACCCAAAGAAUAAGCACCGGCUAACUUCGUG
rnacentral:rRNA from 1 species